AUGGAUACAGGUUUUUAUAACAGGUAUAUCACAAUCCAUAGUGGAAGAGCACUGAGGAAAAACACUGAAAUUCACAAUACUGACAUCAACAACUCAAACUCGACGCAAGAUCACCCCUCACCAACCGUUGCAAGCCACCCAUCCAGCGAGCUUCAACACACUCGUCGCCACCGCAACUACCGACGUUGUUUAAUACCGAACCACCACACUCACCAACAAACUUCCGAACCACGUUCCUCGAUCUCCGCCAUCUUCACCAAGAUAAGAGAACAUGAGGGAAAAGAAACCCCUGUGUUUUUUUUCCGUUCCAGAUCUGAGAUAAAGGAGAGAGAAAGGCAGAGGUGA